CAACUCAUCAUCAACCUGACGAACAACAAUCCAGUGGAGGGUCUAGUUUUCGACGAUGUUGCAGCCUCCGUAUUAAAUGAGGAGAGCAGGCGGAAAAAUAAAGAAAACAGACAAGCAAGUUCGCAGCAAGCGGAGGCGCUAUCGGUGACGAGAGGGAGAUCAACAGAACGUGGCCCCAGUGGGAGUCAAAGUCAUGGUAGAUCAAAAUCCAGAAGUAAGAAGAAUGUUAAAUGCUACAACUGUGGCAAGAAAGGGCACGUCAAGAAAGAGUGUUGGAGUAACCAGAAGAGAAGAGAGGGCAAAGAACCUGAGUCAUCAAAUGCUCAGGGUUGUGUAGCAAGUACCUCAGAUGAUGGCGAAAUUCUUUACAGCGAGGCAACAACUGUUUCAGAAGGCAGAAAACGACUGUCUGAUGUCUGGCUUAUAGACUCAGGAGAUACCUGGCACAUGACCUAUCAGAGAGAAUGGUUCCACACAUAUGAACCUAUCUCAGGAGGAUCUGUGUAUAUGGGAGAUGAUCAUGCCUUGGAGAUCGCUGGUAUUGGUACUAUCAAAAUAAAAAUGUUUGAUGGUACAAUUCGCACAAUUGGGGAGGUACGACAUGUCAACGGCCUGAAGAAAAAUCUAUUGUCUUUGGGACAAAUAGAUAGUCAUGGGUACAAAACUCAUGUGGAGAAUGGAAUUAUGAAGAUCGUUAAAGGCGCGCUUGUAUUAAUGAAGGCAGAAAAAAUUGGUCCUAAUCUAUUCAUGCUUAAAGAAAGUUCGCAGCAAGCAAAAGCGCUAUCGGUGACGAGAGGGAGAUCAACGGAACGUGGCCCCAGUGGGAAUCAAAAUCAAGGUAGAUCAAAAUUCAGAAGUAAGAAGAAUGUUAAAUGCUACAAAUGUGGCAAGAAAGGGCACGUCAAGAAAGAAUGUUGGAGUAACCAGAAGAGAAAAGAGGGCAAAGAACCUGAGUCAUCAAAUGCUCAGGGUUGUGUAGCAAGUACCUCAGAUG
rnacentral:lncRNA from 1 species